UGGGGGAUAUUGCACAAUGGGCGAAAGCCUGAUGCAGCGACGCCGCGUGGGGGAUGAAGGCUUUCGGGUUGUAAACCUCUUUCGCUAUCGAACAAGGCCCGCUUAGGGUGGGUUGAGGGUAGGUGGAGAAGAAGCGCCGGCUAACUACGUGCCAGCAGCCGCGGUAAUACGUAGGGCGCGAGCGUUGUCCGGAAUUAGUGGGCGUAAAGGGCUUGUAGGCGGCUUGUUGCGCCUGCUGUGAAAACGCGGGGCUUAACUUCGCGCGUGCAGUGGGUACGGGCAGGCUUGAGUGUAGUAGAGGUGACUGGAAUUCCAGGUGUAGCGGUGGAAUGCGCAGAUAUCUGGAGGAACACCGAUGGCGAAGGCAGGUCACUGGGCCAUUACUGACGCUGAGGAGCGAAAGCAUGGGUAGCGAACAGG
rnacentral:rRNA from 1 species